GAAGCAAAUCUUGGGAGCAUGAUCAUUGUGAUACCCUCAGUGUGAAAGAAAAAAUUUCAAAAGAAAAAGGAAACUGAAGAAGUUAAUUGUACCAGAGCAGAAUCCAGCGAAGCUGAACGGCUUCCCGAAGAGCACUGAGUUUUCUAUACCAGAUUCUGCUCCAGUGGCUAGGACCUUUAUGGCUGCUGUUUCUUUUGCUCUGGGCUCUGAUGGAAGAAAAAAAAAAAAAAAAAAAAGCCACCGUGGAUCCCGUCCCUAAAGUAGAAAUUUUCUUUUUCCUUCUGCAAACAAGGCUAAAGAUCGGAGGAGAAUGAAUACGAAAGUAAUUUGGGAUCGUGGUCGUGCCAUUAAAAGUGUUCGGCUUCAGAAAGAAAUUGUUUGGGAAAUCCGAUUAUUUCUUCUCACAGUAUCGACAGUAUUUGAAAGUUGUGUGUUCUUUGAGUAAUCUGGUGCAAGUGACAACAAUCUCCGCAUGUCAGUGUUUUCUACAGUUUAUGGAGCGAAAGCUUGCUUUGCCAUUGAAAGGAAGAAGCUUUUGCUAACAGUCUGUAGAAGGAUUAAAUGUUGAACGUGGGGAAGAGGCAAAAAGUGAAUACACGCCCAGAUGUUAUCCUUGCAUCGAGAGGGGCUCUAAAGUACUCUGUAACCUAGGGCCCACCUGAAUAGGAGGACUGAAAGUAUAAAGGCGAAAUAUUGCAAUUAGAAACCCCUUCACAUGCAUUUAAUCCUUCUUUAAGGCAUUAAAGGAAAUAGAAUCAAAUCGUUACUGUAUGAAUCUGCUGGAAGAAGCAGGUUUUAACCCAUUUUUAGAUGCUUCCUUUCGACGCAUUGUAAUAUGGCUACUUGUGAGUCAAAGCAGUGAAGAUUUUUGCUGUGCUCUUUCUUUUUGCUUUCAAAAGUUAAGGACUGUAAGGAAAGUCUGUUCAGUCAGCUGAUACAUUGUCUUGAAUGUAUGUAUGUGUCUUGCCUGCUUAUUUGAUCUUU